CUCCUCCACGCUGCCCCUCAGCCCGUGCCUCAACUUCCCACUGACUCCAGGCGCUUCCCGGCCUGAGGGGAUGUGGAGUGCUGCUCCUCCCACUGCUUCCUUGCAGAUUCCCGAUGCUGUUCCUGUGGGAGAGUUGAUCCACUCGCCUGUAGCUGUCCUCGUUCUUAGCCUCCUACUCUGGGAGCAGAGAGCCGGGAGGUCACCACUAAUCCGCCAUUUUUCUAAUCCUAUGAGUGAGCCACACCAGAUUUUGUCCUGGGUGUGACUCUCCUUAGGCACUCAGAACACCUUCGCCUAGAGCACAGAGCACAUUGCAGGUAAGUAUUUUAGAUGAGAGGAGUCUCUCUAUUUACCCAUAACAGUGCUAGAUACCUUUGUUCCCUCCUCUUAAGCACUCAUUGCUCAUGAAAAUUAGAAAAUGGGAUGGAUGUGUGUAAAUACAUUUCACCUCUCCAGCUUCUCCUGUCUCAAGUGCCAGUCUUCACCUUCCCUUUCAAAGAAAAUCGUAAUUGUCCUCCAUGCAUUUUUUUUUUUUUGCAUACUGUGAGGCAUGCAUGCUUUAUUUCUCUGUUGGUGUCUAUCUACUAUUCAAAGUUCAUUUUACAGAUAGAGAUCUAUACAAAAAACUAUGAAAUUUCUAGGAAACAUCAUGGAUGCACUUAUUGAAAUCAUGUAAAGUAUGUGUUAUUGCUAAAAUUUGACUCACUCUUUGAGAAUCAGUUAAAAGGACAACUCCACCAAUAAAGUUUCCCUAAUCAGCUCAGCUGUCCUCUGAAUUCCAAUGGCAAUUUAUAACACUUUCGGCUCAUAUCACACUUGGCCUUAUUUUAUAGUUUCAUAUGCAUAUGGCUUUAUUUUUUUAAGCACCUGGACACAGCAUGAAAGAGGGAAAAAAGCAUGGACCUUGGAUGUCACACAAACCCAGGUUGAAAUUCUAGCUUCACAAUUACUAGCUGGGUUGCCCUGAAAUAGUUACCUUAAUCUUGGCCCAGUUGCUGUUUCCUGUGUGAUACUUAACUGCUCUGUGUCCCAGUCCUCAUCCAUAAAAUGGAGACAAUAGUAUGUUACUAAUAUGCAAGUGUUUAAUAAUAUACAAGUGUGUGUGAAAUGAGACUUCACGUAAAAUGUUUAGAACAAUUACUGGGACAUG